UUGAACGCUAGCGGCAGGCUUAACACAUAGCAAGUCGAGGGGUAUCACGCUUUCGGGCGUGAGUAGACCGGCGCACGGGUGCGUAACGCGUAUGCAAUCUACCUUUUGCAGAGGAUAGCCCAGAGAAAUUUGGAUUAAUACCUCAUAGUAUAGAACAAUCGCAUGAUUGAACUAUUAAAGUCACAACGGCAAAAGAUGAGCAUGCGUCCCAUUAGUUAGUUGGUAAGGUAACGGCUUACCAAGACUACGACGGGUAGGGGUCCUGAGAGGGAGAUCCCCCCACACUGGUACUGAGACACGGACCAGACUCCUACGGGAGGCAGCAGUGAGGAAUAUUGGACAAUGGGCGCAAGCCUGAUCCAGCCAUGCCGCGUGCAGGAAGAAGCAUCUAUGGUGUGUAAACUGCUUUUGUACAGGAAGAA
rnacentral:rRNA from 1 species